rnacentral:rRNA from 1 species
UACAGAGGUCUCAAGCGUUGUUCGGAUUCAUUGGGCGUAAAGGGUGCGUAGGUGGCGCCGUAAGUCGGGUGUGAAAUUUCGGAGCUUAACUCCGAAACUGCAUUCGAUACUGCGGUGCUUGAGGACUGGAGAGGAGACUGGAAUUCAUGGUGUAGCAGUGAAAUGCGUAGAGAUCAUGAGGAAGACCAGUGGCGAAGGCGGGUCUCUGGACAGUUCCUGACACUGAGGCACGAAGGCCAGGGGAGCAAACGGGAUUAGAACGUACCGUAGUCA